GACGAACGCUGGCGGCGUGCCUAAUACAUGCAAGUCGAACGCAGUUGCGAACGGGUGAGUAACGCGUCGGUCCCUGCCUGGUAGCGGGGGAUAACUAUUGGAAACGAUAGCUAAUACCGCAUACUACCAGAUGGACCUGCGUUGUAUUAGCUAGUUGGUGAGGUAACGGCUCACCAAGGCAACGCUACAUAGCCGAGCUGAGAGGGUGAGCGGCCACACUGGGACUGAGAAACGGCCCAGACUCCUACGGGAGGCAGCAGUAGGGAAUCGUCGGCAAUGGGGGGAACCCUGACCGGGCAACGCCGCGUGAGUGAAGAAGGUUUUCGGAUCGUAAAGCUCUGGUGUUAAGGAAGCGGUACUUAACCAGAAAGGGACGGCUAACUACGUGCCAGCAGCCGCGGUAAUUC
rnacentral:rRNA from 1 species